GAUGGGCUCAAACCACUGACUUUUCAGGCAACAUCUGACAGCACUAACCUAGUGUUCCAGAGACACUGCUUGUUAAACAGUGAAAGCUGUUGCUCAAUUGUGUCAUCCAUAAUUGUCAAAUAUUGCCAUUUAGUAGCACAAGGAAGUAUUUUCUGUUGCCAAGCUAGAGUACCCAUAACUCUUCUGUUUUGUUGAACAUUCUUCCUCACCACAAACCCUCUUUAGAAGACUGGGGGCUCCUAAAACAUUGAGGCCGAGAGUCCUGUCCUUGUGCAUGUUUGGGCAUUGACCCAGGGCCAAGUCAGUGGGAGACUCCUCCACACACACACCAGGUCCCCAGGUGACAACUGCAGUCUCUGGAUCUGAGGUCAUCCACUUUCCCAUUCCUAGCUCACCUCACCCAUCGUGAAGCCUGGAUUUCCUUUUUAUCACUGGUUUUGAUGGAUUUGAUUAAGGUGUUCCUUGGUGAAGUUUUCUUCAUGUUUCUUGUUCUUAGAAUAAUCAUAUUUCUGUAAUAUUUGAAGUUUAUGGUUUCCAUGGAGCUUCUAAAUCUUUCAUCCAGUAUAUUUUAAAUAUCUUUGUCUCUCUUCUCCACUACACGCCCUUCAGGGAUUCCAUUUAGCCCUAUACUAGGGGGUUUAAAGUUUUGAUGCUGAUGGUCUUUUUAUGUUUUCAAGUCAUUUGUUACUGUGUGUUUCAUUUAUGUUAGUUUCAACUGCUAUUCCUUCUAGUUCAAUAAUCUUCUUUUCUGCACUGUUUAAUCCACUGCCUUCUUCCAUUUCAGACUGUAAAUCAUAGUUUUUAUCUAUAGAUUUUGAUAUUUAAAAAAUCUUCAACCUCCCCAUUUAAUUAAAAUACAAUUAUACUAA
rnacentral:lncRNA from 1 species